rnacentral:rRNA from 1 species
UACGGAGGAUGCAAGCGUUAUACGGAAUUAUUGGGCGUAAAGCGUCCGCAGGUGGCUCGGCAAGUCUGCUGUCAAAGACUGGAGCUUAACUCCAGGCAGGCGGUGGAAACUGAAGAGCUAGAGACCGGUAGGGGUAGAGGGAAUUCCCAGUGUAGCGGUGAAAUGCGUAGAGAUUGGGAAGAACACCAGUGGCGAAAGCGCUCUACUGGGCCGGUACUGACAAUCAGGGACGAAAGAUAGGGGAGCGAAAGGG